AGAGUUUGAUCCUGGCUCAGAUUGAACGCUGGCGGAAUGCUUUACACAUGCAAGUCGAACGGCAGCACGGACUUCGGUCUGGUGGCGAGUGGCGAACGGGUGAGUAACAUAUCGGAACGUAUCCAAUAAUGGGGGAUAACUAAUCGAAAGGUUGGCUAAUACCGCAUACGCCCUACGGGGGAAAGCUAGGGACCUUCGGGCCUGGCGUUAAUGGAGCGGCCGAUAUCUGAUUAGCUAGUUGGUGAGGUAAAGGCUCACCAAGGCGACGAUCAGUAGCUGGUCUGAGAGGACGACCAGCCACACUGGAACUGAGACACGGUCCAGACUCCUACGGGAGGCAGCAGUGGGGAAUUUUGGACAAUGGGCGCAAGCCUGAUCCAGCCAUUCCGCGUGAGUGAAGAAGGCCUUCGGGUUGUAAAGCUCUUUCGCAAGGGAAGAAAACUUAUCCUCUAACAUAGGAUGAGGUUGACGGUACCUUGAUAAGAAGCACCGGCUAACUACGUGCCAGCAGCCGCGGUAAUACGUAGGGUGCGAGCGUUAAUCGGAAUUACUGGGCGUAAAGCGUGCGCAGGCGGCCUUGAAAGUCAGAUGUGAAAUCCCCGAGCUCAACUUGGGAACUGCGUUUGAAACUCCAAGGCUAGAAUAUGUCAGAGGGGGGUAGAAUUCCACGUGUAGCAGUGAAAUGCGUAGAGAUGUGGAGGAAUACCAAUGGCGAAAGCAGCCCCCUGGGAUAAUAUUGACGCUCAUGCACGAAAGCGUGGGGAGCAAACAGGAUUAGAUACCCUGGUAGUCCAUGCCGUAACGAUGUCUACUAGCCGUUGGGGCCUUUGA
rnacentral:rRNA from 1 species